rnacentral:rRNA from 1 species
GGACUACAGGGGUUUCUAAUCCCGUUCGCUCCCCUAGCUUUCGCAUCUGAGCGUCAGGUGCUAACCAGGACACUGCCUUCGCCAUUGGUGUUCCUCCGGAUAUCUACGCAUUUCACCACUACACCCGGAAUUCCAUGUCCCUCUUUAGCCCUCAAGUCGUGCCGUUUUCGAGACGCUCUCCCAGUUGAGCCGGGAGCUGUUACCUCAAACGUACACAACCGCCUGCAUGCGCUUUACGCCCAGUAACUCCGGACAACGCUCGCCCCCUACGUAUUACCGCGGCGGCUGGCAC